rnacentral:rRNA from 1 species
GACGUAGGGCGCGAGCGUUGUCCGGAAUUAUUGGGCGUAAAGGGCUCGUAGGCGGUUUGUCGCGUCGGGAGUGAAAACACACAGCUUAACUGUGUGCUUGCUUCCGAUACGGGCAGACUAGAGGUAUGCAGGGGAGAACGGAAUUCCUGGUGUAGCGGUGAAAUGCGCAGAUAUCAGGAAGAACACCCGUGGCGAAGGCGGUUCUCUGGGACGGUACUGACGCUGAGGCGCGAAAGCUAGGGGAGCGAACGGG